rnacentral:rRNA from 2 species
AACUUUCAACAACGGAUCUCUUGGCUCUCGCAUCGAUGAAGAACGCAGCGAAAUGCGAUAAGUAAUGUGAAUUGCAGAAUUCAGUGAAUCAUCGAAUCUUUGAACGCACCUUGCGCCCUUUGGUAUUCCGAAGGGCACACCUGUUUGAGUGUCGUGAAAUU